rnacentral:rRNA from 1 species
UACGUAGGGUGCGAGCGUUUAAUCGGAAUUACUGGGCGUAAAGCGCACGCAGGCGGUGCGGUAAGUCUGAUGUGAAAUCUCCUGGCUUAACUGGGAGGGGUCAUUGGAAACUGCCGUACUUGAGGCGAUGAGAGGGGUGUAGAAUUCCCGGUGUAGUGGUGGAAUGCGUAGAUAUCGGAAGGAACACCUGUGGCGAAAGGCGGCUCACUGGACCAUAACUGACGCUGAGGCGCGAAAGCUAGGGGAGCAAACAGGG